UACGUAGGGUGCAAGCGUUAAUCGGAAUUACUGGGCGUAAAGGGUUCGUAGGUGGCCUGCUAAGUCAGACGUGAAAUCCCUCAGCUUAACUGGGGAACUGCGUCUGAAACUGGCGGGCUUGAGUGCAGGAGAGGAACGCGGAAUUCCAGGUGUAGCGGUGAAAUGCGUAGAUAUCUGGAGGAACACCGGUGGCGAAGGCGGCGUUCUGGACUGCUACUGACACUGAGGAACGAAAGCCAGGGGAGCAAACGGG
rnacentral:rRNA from 1 species